CCUACGGGAGGCUGCAGUGAGGAAUAUUGGUCAAUGGACGGAAGUCUGAACCAGCCAUGCCGCGUGCAGGAAGACGGCUCUAUGAGUUGUAAACUGCUUUUGUACAAGGGUAAACCUGAAUACGUGUAUGCAGCUGAAAGUACUGUACGAAUAAGGAUCGGCUAACUCCGUGCCAGCAGCCGCGGUAAUACGGAGGAUCCAAGCGUUAUCCGGAUUUAUUGGGUUGAAAGGGGGCGUAGGCGGAUUGAGAGGUUAGAGGUGAAAGGUCCGCGCUUACCUCGGGAACUGCCUCUAAUACUGGUGAUCUAGAGCGUAUAUGCGGUAGGCGGAAUG
rnacentral:rRNA from 1 species